rnacentral:tRNA from 2 species
GCGGGAAUGGCGGAAUUGGCAGACGCGCUAGGUUGAGGGCCUAGUGGCCGCAAGGCCGUGCAGGUUCAAGUCCUGUUUCCCGCA